ensembl:lncRNA
GGGCUGCACACGUGGCAUAUGGAGGUUCCUAGGCUAGGGGUUGAAUCGGCUCUGUAGCUGCAGGCCUGUGCCAUAGCACACAGCAAUGCCGGAUCCUCAACCCACUGAAUGAGGCCAAAGAUCGAAUCUGUGUCCUCAUGGGUACUAGUCAGAUUUGUUUCCUCUGAGCCAUGAAGGGAACUUCACUGAUGGUAUUUUUUUUAAAAGAAAAUUGUCAAAUUCUAACAGAAAAAAAUGGAGAGAGGCAAGAGCAACUUGAGAUAACUCCUUGCUAUGGACUGAAUGUUUGUGUUUGUCCCAGAUUUAUGUGCUGAAGCCUAAAGCCCCAGUGAAACGGUAUUUGGGGAUGGAGCCUUUGGGAGGCAACUGGGUCAAGAGGAUGGAGCCCUCAUGAUGGGUUUAGUGCCCUUUUAAGAAGAGGCCGGAGAAAGCAUGCUUCCCUUCUCUCCCCCCCACCCCGCCCUUACCCUCUCUCUCUCCCUCUCUCUCUCUCUCUCCCUGCUCACUGCCAUGUGAAAAGGACACAAGGAGAAGGCAGCCCUCUGCAGAUCAGGCACAGGGUCCUCAUCAGACACUGGACCUGCUGGCACCUUGAUCUUGGACUUCCCAGCCUCCAGAACUGUGAGAAAUGUGUGUUGUGUAAGCUACCUGGUCUAUGAUAUUCUGUUAAAACAGCCAUAACCAAGACAAGCCUGCCUAGGAUACAGAAAAUAAAAGAAAAACCUCCCCAAGUCAGUAGGCAUAUUUAAGGCAAUGCCUUAAAUACAUUACAGUAGGAUAUUUCUGAGAACUUAGUAAAAUGAUAAUAACAGUCAUUUGGUUUAAAGACUUAAACCUAAGGCAUGACACCCUGAAACUCCUAGAAGAGAACACAGGCCAAACAUUCUCUGAUAUAAACUGUAAAAAUGUUUUCUUAGGUCAGUCUCCCAAGGCAAGAGAAGUAAAAACAAAAAUAAACAAAUGGCACCUAAUCAAACUUACAAGAUUUUUCACAGCAAAGGAAACCAUUUUUUUUUAAAUAAAAAGAAAUCCUACAGAAUGAGAAAAUGUUUGCAAAUGAUGCAACCUACAAGGGCUUAAUCUCCAAAAUAUACAAACAACUCAACGAUAAUAAACAACCCAAUGGAAAAAGGGGGAGAAGACCUAAGGAGACAUUUCUCCAAAGAAGACAUACAGAUGGCCAGUAGGCACAGGAAAAAAUGCUCAGGAUCAUUAAUUAUUAGAGAACUGCAGAUCAAAACUACAGUGAGGUACCACUGCACACCCAUCAGGGUGGCCGUCACUAAUAAGGCUACAAAUAAAAAAUGCUGAAGAGGGUGUGGAGAAAAGGGAACCUUCAUACACUGUUGGUGGGAGUGUAAAUUUGUACAACCACUACGGAAAAGAGUAUGGAGGUACCUCAGAAAACUAAAAAUAGAACUACCACGUGACCCAGCAACCCCACUCCUGGGCAUCUGUCCAGACAAAACUUUCCUUCAAAAAGAUAACAUGCACCCCCUAUGUUCACUGCAGCACAAUUCACAAUAACCAAGACAUGGAAACAACCUAAAUGUCCAUUGAAAGUUGAAUGGAUUAAGAAGAUGUGGUACAUAUAUAUAAUGGAAUACUAUGCAGCCAUAAAAAGAACACAAUAAUGCCAUUUGCAGCAACACGGAUGCAACUAGUCAUUAUCAAACUAAGUGAAGAAAAUCAGAAAGAGAAAGACAAAUACCGUAUGAUAUCACUUAUACGUGGAAUCUAAAAUAUGGGAUACAUGGGAGUUUCAAGCUUAGCUCAGCAGUAACAAACCCCACUAGUAUCCGUGAGGAUGCAGGUUCAGUUCCUGGCCUUGCUCAGUGGGUUAAGGAUCUGACAUUGCUGUGAGCUGUGGUGUAGGUUGCAGAAGCGACUUGGAUCUGGUGUUGCUGUGGCUGUGGUGUAGGCUAGCAGCUACAACUCCAAUUCGACCCUUAGCCUGGGAAUUUCCAUAUGCUACAGAUGCGGCCCUAAAAACAAGACCAAAAUAAAAGAAAAUAGAAUAAACUAUGGCACAAAUGAGCCCAUCUACAAAACAGAAUCAGACUCACAGAUAGAGAACAGACUUGUGGUUGUCACAGGGUGGGGGGAAAUGGACUAGGCAUUUGGGGUUAAUAGAUGCAAACUAUUACAUUUAGGAUGGGUAAACAGGGUCCCACCAUAGAGCACAGGGAACUAUAGCCAAUCUCCUGGGAUAGAUUAUGACGGAAAAGAAUGUGAGAAAGAAUACAUAACUAGAUAUAUAACCGAGUCACCUUGCUAUACAGCAGAAACUGGCACAACAUUGUAAAUCAACUAUAAUAAAAAAAUUUUUUUUAGGAGUUGCCAUUGUAACUCAGUGGAAACGGAUCUGACUAGUAUCCAUAAGGACCAAGUUCAAUCCCCAGCCUCGCUCAGUGGGUUAAGGAUCCAAUGUUGCCGUGAGCUGUGGUGUAGGCUGCAGAUGUGGCUCGGAUCUGAUGUUGCUGUGGCUGCGGUGUAGGCCAGCAGCUGCAGCUCUGAUUUAACCCCUAGCCUGGGAACCUUCAUAUGCCACAGGUGCAGCCCUAAAGAAGAUAAAAAUAAAAAAAAAUUUAAAAAUAAAAUGAAAUAAAUUUUUUAUUUUAAAAAUAAAUUACUAUCCCCCAACAUUAUAAUAACAGUCAUUAAGGCAAAAAUGGCAGCUAAGACAAAGUAUUUGUCUAUUUCAACUAUUUCAUAAUAAACAUUUAGAAUGAGAAUUAGAUAAAAAGAAAAAAAUGAAGGCAACUGUAUCAAAGACUAUUCAUUGGGAGAGGCAGGCAAUAAUGGAGAGGCUUUCCAAAAAAAAGAUAACAAAAGCAUAUUAUCAAGUAACUGUCAUUAAAAGUUUAUGACGCCAGAUUAAAAAUUGACCUAAGGAAUAGAAUAGAGUUCAAAUUAGCUUCACACUCACUUAAAACUCACUGUUUAGUCAAUGGCAUUGAGAGAAAAACAUGGAAAAGCACAUAGUGUUACAACACAUAGUAAUAUAAGUGUUUUAAAUGGAAAGAAUUAUUAUUAUUAUUUUUAAUCCCAUACGGGAUCAGAUUGGAGCCAUAGUCGCCACCUAAGCCGCAGCUGCGACAACGCCGGAUCUCUAACCUACUGUGCGGGGCCGGGGAUCGAACCUGCAUUCCAGCAGCUCCCAAGAUGCUGCCGAUCCCCUUGUGCCACAGUGGGAGCUCCAAAAAUUAUUUUUUUAAGAAAGUAAUUCAGUUAAAAUUUUCUGUACAGGCAAAUUAAAACCACAACCAGAUGCCAUUUCACACCCACAUUGAAUCAAAAUAUGGUUUAACCAGACAGCAUUAUUCAGCGACAAAAGGAAACAAAGGGACAUU